GCCCUCAGGUGCCAUAGCACCCUGAGGGGGCCCCAGCAUGGAAUCUGAUUAGGGUCGAACCUGGCUGGGACUUGGAUGGGAGGCUGCUGGGGAGACCAGGACCUGGAGGCU
rnacentral:rRNA from 1 species